rnacentral:rRNA from 1 species
GAUGAACGCUGGCGGCGUGCUUAACACAUGCAAGUCGAACGAAGCACUUUAUUUGAUUUCCUUCGGGACUGAUUAUUUUGUGACUGAGUGGCGGACGGGUGAGUAACGCGUGGGUAACCUGCCUUGUACAGGGGGAUAACAGUUGGAAACGGCUGCUAAUACCGCAUAAGCGCCCAGCAUCGCAUGAUGCAGUGUGAAAAACUCCGGUGGUAUAAGAUGGACCCGCGUUGGAUUAGCUAGUUGGUGAGGUAACGGCCCACCAAGGCGACGAUCCAUAGCCGACCUGAGAGGGUGACCGGCCACAUUGGGACUGAGACACAGCCCAAACUCCUACGGGAGGCAGCAGUGGGGAAUAUUGCACAAUGGGCGAAAGCCUGAUGCAGCGACGCCGCGUGAGCGAAGAAGUAUUUCGGUAUGUAAAGCUCUAUCAGCAGGGAAGAUAAUGACGGUACCUGACUAAGAAGCACCGGCUAAAUACGUG